AGCCGGAUGGUGGAAUCGGUAGACACAAGGGAUUUAAAAUCCCUCGGCGUUCGCGCUGUGCGGGUUCAAGUCCCGCUCCGGGUACCA
rnacentral:tRNA from 1 species